UUUAUGUUAAUAAGCAUUAAUCUGCUCUCUUUACAGGAUUCCAGCUCUUCCUCUUCUGAAAGUGAAGAUGAAAAGAAGAAGAAGAAGAAGAAGAAGAAGCCCUGCUCUUCUGACGACGGCUCCUCUUCUUCCUCCUCUUCCUCUGAUAGUGAAGAUGACAAGAAGAAGAAGAAAAAGAAAGA